rnacentral:lncRNA from 1 species
GAACUCUCAAAAUUAUGGAUUCUUCCCAUAGCAAGUUUUAUGUACAAAUUAAGGCCUCAAUACUAGUACUGCCCAAAUUCAAGUAAGAAUCCCUGCCCCUACACCUCGAAGGCUUUGAUCAUGGAUAUUGCAAGACGUGUUCGGUUUAAACUAGGGGCAACUUGAUCCUUUACUGCCUCGCCACCUACCUUAAAUUACAUGGUGAGUUUCUUUCUUCCAAUUGAUGUGCAUCCUGCCUAAGGUUUCUGUCAAUUGCAACCCCGCCUGGGGCUGACGAGCUCGUGUGGAUAAAAUCAUCAAUUAUUUCAUUGUUUUGCAGUGACAAGACAACCCCAUUACAUAUCCCUUCUCCCCUAACAUCCAAACCUGUGCCCAUUAGGACUUCAUACCCUACACUGUCAACACGAGGAAGACCGUUUGCCGCAUCAUUUCCACCAAAAUGAAUUUAUGAGUGGAUCCACAAUCAUUUGACAUCACCAUCUCAUGUGCAAUCAUCCUUUGACGUUCAUAUUCUUUGGGGGGAAUCAAGCCCAUCUUGGAAUCAGGGGGUAGUUCCACCUAGUCCCCAUAAUUUUCAUUUCUUCCUCAUCGAUUGCCUCUUAAUUACCGUUGCACCUAAUUUCUCUCCACAGAUAUUUAAGAUGUGAAGCUUCUUCUGUUUACAUUUGUGCCCUAUCAAGUAUUUCUCAUCACAUCUUAAGUAGAGGCCACCCUUUUCCCACUUUGCUUGAAGUUGUGCAUCAUUUGUAGGGUCAUGGAAAUUUUGGGAUUGUCGAUGUCUUUGGUGGAAUUGGAGAUAUGGGUUUUUGGGAUUCUCACCAUCAAACACCGCCAUGUUUGAUUUCCAUGGCCUUUGCUGUUGACAAUUUUUUUCUGCAUCUGUGCAUAUUUACUCCACAGCAACCAAGUCCCACACACCGCCUGCUUCUUGCCCCUGCAAACAUAGGUGGAUUAGAGGUCUAACAAAGUCCCAUACCUUCAAAGUCGUGAAACAAGGGAUGGCCACUAAAAGCCUGAAACUGUCUUAUUACAUUCUGAUUGAGGGAGUUUGUGAACACUACCAAAAACAGUGUGUUCAGCGUUAACGAACUUGUCAUGGUCCAACGACUUUCCUCUCAUUGAAACCACGCCAAGGCCUCUCUGUCAAAACAUACAGCCUAUGCCUCGAGCUUUUCCUCAUUCUACAUCGAGUGCACAACAAAGAAACACUCAUCUCUAAAUAUCUAACUAUCGGGAUUCUCACCAUCAAACCCUUGUUUCACAACUUCAAUUUCCUUGGCCUUUGAUGGUGACAAUUUUUCCCUGCAUCUGUACGUCAUAGCAACCAAGUCCCACACACUUCCUGAAACUGUUAGAGGUCUAUCAAAGUCCCAUACUUCAAAGUUGUGAAAAAAGGGUGGGCUACUAAAAGCCUGAAACUGCUUUGUUACAUUUUGAUUGAGGAAUUUUGUGAACACUACUAAAAACACAUACCACUUAAAAGUAUCCUUGUUCCAUUUGUUGGUCUUGUGUUGCCAAAGUUUUUGACAACCGGUGCUAGUAUAUAGAUUCGAGAAUUAACAUCUUGCUUAAUCUAUUUUACGCUCUUUAUAUCAGUUAUAUUAAUUUUUCUUUAGCUAGGUAUCCUUUUCUCAGUAGCUUAUGUUCAUCUUCUUGGUGAUGCAAAUGAUUCCAGUUACUGGAGGAAAUAGGACACAAGACAGUUCUUCCUUCUGUGUUGAGACCUAUCAUUCAAAUAGAUGGGUAAAUUAGAAUGAUAUAUAGUAAGUAAGAGCUGAUUUGAUCUUAAGAUCUGUUUUUUUUUCCAAUUUCUCUUCUUUUUGAAUUAAGUAUCCAAAUGUUUAGGACCUACAGUGUUAGUCAGGUCUGCCAUUGCUUUGGAGAAAGACAAUAUUCGUAGAGUUGAGUAUUGUAAUGGAGCCUGACUACCAUUCAUUGUUGGAUUUUUAUACAGUAAAUAUAUUAUGUGAAAAAAUAACUAAGUAGAUCAAGUGCCCAAUUGGUAAAAAGUGUGGAAUUUGUGUGGGAGGUCGGGGGGUUAUUUUCCAACAUUCAUAUCCAAAGAUAGUUAAGUUAGGUGGUUUGUAUCCUUCUAACAAUCUAAUGUUCGAUUAUUUUGUGGACGCGGUUAUGUAACUGAAGAUCUAUCUUUCUCUGUCUCAGGGGAUCCCUUUUUGAAAUUAUUCAAUGAUAUGGAUUCAUGCAAUGCCAUACUGAAGGAGGUUACCAAAGUUAUCAUAUACCUUUUUGUUGCUGUGGUUACCUUUUGAGCUCCAUCACUGUUUUUUAGAGGGUUCAUGUAGAAUUUGUUGAUAAAUGUCAACCACAUGAUGUCUUCCUCAUAAUUUUCUUAAUGAUUAUAACAGUCCUGUGCUUGUUAACUCUCGAUGUGUAAUUCUACGUAAAACCAUUCUUUCUGAAGGGAUACUGGAAAAUGAAGUCCCAAUUUUAG